CCGCUCACGAGAAGUCCUGCAAGAGUGUGUUGGCCGUACGGGUGCGAGCAGCGGACAGAAGACUGUUAGGGCAGAGCGGAGAGACCGAGAAGGGGCAUACCUUUGGAUCUGUGAGGAGAUAUAAGAUGGGCUAAGAUUAUUCAGUGCUUUAUAGGUAUGGAUUAGCACUUUGAAUUAACUCCUAUACUAUAUAUGAAGCCAAUGUAAGGACUGACAGAGGGGUGAGGUGUGAGAGAACCAACAAGAGAGGAAAAUCAGUCUGACGGCAGCAUUCAUUACAGACUGCAGAGGGGUAAUACGGCUUUUGGGAAGACCAGUCAGGAGAGGGUUACAGUAAUCCAUGCAGGAAAUGACUAGAGCAUGGACAAGCUCCUU